rnacentral:misc_RNA from 1 species
AACCAUAGAAACCUGCGGAGUACCUGCGGAAGGAUCAUUACACAAUAAACAUAUGAAGGCUGCACCGCCAACAGGCGGCAAGGCUGGAGUAUUUUAUUACCCUUGUCUUUUGCGCACUUGUUGUUUCCUGGGCGGGUUCGCCCGCCUCCAGGACCACAUGAUAAACCUUUUUUAUGCAGUUGCAAUCAGCGUCAGUACAACAAAUGUAAAUCAUUUACAACUUUCAACAACGGAUCUCAG